rnacentral:rRNA from 1 species
GAACGCUAGCGACAGGCUUAACACAUGCAAGUCGAGGGGUAACAGGGUAGCAAUACCGCUGACGACCGGCGCACGGGUGAGUAACGCGUAUGCAACCUGCCUAUAACUGGGGAAUAGCUCCCUGAAAGGGGAAUUAACACCGCAUAACACUAUUGAUUCGCAUGGAUUAGUAGUUAAAUGUAGCGAUACAGGUUAUAGAUGGGCAUGCGUGACAUUAGCUAGUUGGUGAGGUAACGGCUCACCAAGGCUACGAUGUCUAGGGGUUCUGAGAGGAAGGUCCCCCACACUGGUACUGAGACACGGACCAGACUCCUACGGGAGGCAGCAGUGAGGAAUAUUGGUCAAUGGGCGCAAGCCUGAACCAGCCAUGUCGCGUGCAGGAAGACUGCCCUAUGGGUUGUAAACUGCUUUUAUAGUAGAAGAAACACAUCUACGAGUAGAUGUCUGCCAGUAUACUAUGAAUAAGCAUCGGCUAACUCCGUGCCAGCAGCUGC